ACCUUAAAGGGGCCGCAGCCGCGAGAUGCUGGAGAGGAGCGCCGUAGCUUGGAGGGGAGGGCCCUUAGAGCAAGUGAAGCAGGAGGCCAGCUAGAUUUCCGGAAUGGAGGCGCAUCCCGAGGCAGGGGAUAGAUAGAAUGAUCACUCCUGUUUUCCAGGUGAAAAGAGUCAUGCUGCAGAGAAGUUUGGCCAGCCAGGAAGCCAUUGGCCCUCUCUGUGCCCACAACUGGGCAGGUUCAACAAACAGGAGCCUCUUCCCAGACCAUCGGCCUCAGGACACUGCGUCACCCCACUAAACCUACCUGGAACCCCCCAAACCGACGUCACUCUGAAUAUGCUGUAACCAGCAAUCUUGGAAUCUGCCUUUAGGCUGGGCGGGCCCUCUGGUUAGCCACAGGCCCCCUCCACUCCCUACGGCUUUACACGAUUGUUCACAUUUAUACCACCUGCGGUCCCAGGAGGGUGCUUGAAUUUGUGACUUGGGGGUCUCCAGGCUAAAACCCCCAACUUAUUGGCAUUCAAAUCCUUCAGAAUCUAGCCUUGUUUGCCACCACUCUCUCCCUUCCUCAAUUACAGGGAACUUCUCACCAUGCCCCCUCAACUCCCAGCUCCGCCAGCCUCAUCAUUCUGCAAGUCUUGAAGGACAGGGUUUGUUUUGAAGGACAGUGCGUGCUGCCCACUCCAGGUGCUGAGCGACGUGGGAGGAGGUGAGGCAAGCAGUCAGACAGACUCUGUUUUGCUACUUACAGUAUAGUUUAACUCAUGGGCCUCUAUUUCUCUGUAUGUGACAUAAAAAGGCUGCAGCAGGUCCCAGCCUUCAUUUAUCAGUAAAUCUUUGUUUUUAGAUGCAAUAUUUUUCAGAAAUCCAGUAGUUAAUACAGAUAAACUUUUUAUUUAUUUUUUUUCUUUUUUUGAAUCCGCCACGGGUGUACAUGUGUUCCCCAUCCUUUAAAAAGAUAAACUUUUUAAAACCCAACAACAAAGAGACCAAAAAAAAAAAAAAACCCAAACCCACCAACCAUUUAAAAAUGGACAAAUAAUUCAAACUUAUCUCCAAAGAAGACAUCCAAAUGGCUGAUGGUCACAUGAAAAGGUGGUCAACGUUGGGACUUGCCUGGUGGUCCAGUGGUUGGGAAUCCGCCUGCCAAUGCCGGGGACAUGGAUUCAACCCCUGGUCCAGGAAGAUCCCAUGUGCCUCAGAGCAGCUAAGCCCAUGUGCCACAACUACUGAGCCUGCGCUCUAGAGCCCUCAUGCCCGCAACUAAGGGAGCCCCGGCGCUCAGGGGCCCGUGCUCCACAACAAGAGAAGCCGCCCCAGUGAGAAGCCCGUGCACUGCAAGGAAGAGUAGCCCCUGCUUGCUGCAACUAGAGAAAGCCGUGUGACACAACAAAGAUCCAGCCCAGCCAAAAAUAAGCAUCAUACCCUUCUGACAAAUAAAGCCCCUGCUGAAGGAAAAGCAACUUAGAUCACCUAAUGGAUGUCACAAUAAUAUGAACCAGCAUAUCUCUGACCGUCUUAUGAAGAAAGCUGGGGUACUUUGAAGAUAAUUCCUACUUCUCUGCCCCAAAUGCAACUGAAAUAUUCUUACAGUGGUUUGCCAUUAGGGUGUUCAUCAGAUAAGUUUUCCUACUAGAAAUUAAAAAC
ensembl:lncRNA